GGGCCCGUAGCUCAGCCUGGUAGAGCAUCCGGCUUUUAACCGGGUGGUCAGGGGUUCGAAUCCCCUCGGGCCCG
rnacentral:tRNA from 1 species